AAAAAAGCAGGGGUCCAUUGCCUUUUUGUGGAUGGGUCUCUCGUAAACUUCAGGGAAAUCAACUCGCAUUGUUAUUGGGUGAACCUCUUGAGUAGUCAAUGACAGAAGGUUCAGUAAAUGAUGGAACAGUA